rnacentral:lncRNA from 1 species
AGCCCCGCCCCUCGGCCCCCUCCCGCCGGGUCAGCCCCACAGUGUCGCCCGGUGGCCGCGGCAGACGGAAGCGGACCGCGAACCCGGGCGGCGGCGGCAGGAUGGGGGACUCCAAAGUAAAAGUGGCGGUGCGGGUUCGGCCCAUGAAUCGACGAGAAAUUGACCUGCAUACCAAAUGUGUGGUGGAUGUUGAUGUAAACAAGGUUAUUCUUAAUCCUGUAAAUACGAACCUUUCCAAAGGAGAUGCCAGGUAAGUUAAGAAACAGUGUUACAUUCAGUGGAGUUUUAUUGGUCUUUUUUUUCUAUUUAUUUUUUUGGAAUCAGGAAUUGAACUCAGAGCCUUGCACUGCUGAGCUACAUCUCUG